rnacentral:rRNA from 1 species
UACGGGGGGGGCAAGCGUUGUUCGGAAUUACUGGGCGUAAAGGGUGCGUAGGCGGCUCUCUAAGUCGGAUGUGAAAACUCUGGGCUCAACUCAGAGCCUGCAUCCGAAACUGGAGGGCUAGGGUUCUGGAGGGGAAAGCGGAAUUCCUGGUGUAGCGGUGAAAUGCGUAGAUAUCAGGAGGAACACCGGUGGCGAAGGCGGCUUUCUGGACAGAUACCGACGCUGAGGCACGAAAGCUAGGGGAGCAAACAGG